AGACUGAAGUCUUCGGUUUUGAAGACGUAGGCUGCAUUUUUGGGGGAACGACGAAGGAAAUCUAUUUGAUUUGUAAAACUCCCUUGCUGAAUGUACUUCUCAGACUGGAAAUAGAUCAAGACUCCAUCUUAUAGGGGACUGGUGAGAUGAACGAUGGCAGAUUCAAUAAUGCAAACCUGUCUGUAUCUUCUUAAAAGGAUGAGGAAGCUCUGUUUACCUAAAUGAAAAGCUUUCUAGGAGGAAGUCGUAAGUGAACAAUGAUGCAUGAGGAUGCAAUCUUACAGGCAAGGAGCCCAGUGAUAACAAAUGGCUGUAGAUGCUUUUCUCCGUCAAGCUUCCAGGAGGAGAUGAGAUGGAGCCCAUCGCUGAGCCAAGGUCACCAGCCCCAUUUCACAGAUGUAAAUAGCAGGUGUCCCCCACACAGUCUGAACACUUGGAGGCCAAGAUUCAUUUCUCUCAGGGCCCACCAUCCUCAAGCAUGGGAUUGAUUUAGUGCCUCUUGCUGGGAA
rnacentral:lncRNA from 1 species